GUAAUGACUAAGUUAGAUAAUCCUGAUACGUUAUCACAGUCAUUACUUGGGGCGUCGACUACGACAUGUCGUGCUCUUAUCCUCUGCAUCAUGGAUGAAAACGCCAGCAGUGAAAGAUUGUGGAAUAUAAAUGAAACACUCAGUGUCGAGAUCACGACAGUGCUAAGUAAGCUCGAACAGACUGGGUUGUUUAAGUUGCCUGAGACAUUGGUGCUGGCAGUGGGUGACAGGAUUCAUGCAGAAAGCCUCCUCCUUCACCAUAGCUUCCGCAACACAGCCAAUGCAGUCUACCUUGCCCUUCAUUACCCCCAAGCCAAAGACGUCUCAGCAGGCACUUCUAGGCUUAACUACCGUUUGCGAAGAUACUUAAUACAUAACUCACAAGAUCAUCCAGUCUCGGUACACAGUCGAUGCCAGUUUUGUCGUAACGGAGCUGCAGAUGUCAAGUUGCUCUUCACAAUAAACUCGUGUUUCUAUCAGGAGUCAUUACUACAGAAAAAAGGUGAGCAAAU